rnacentral:tRNA from 4 species
GGGGCAGUAGCUCAGCUGGGAGAGCGCUACAAUCGCAAUGUAGAGGUCGGGGGUUCGAAUCCCCCCUGCUCCACCA